GGAGCCGCCGGGCCGGACUGCGGCGGGAGCUGCCCGGCGCAGGGGUGGGGACUGGCCGCUUCCUUAAACGGCGCGGGAGCGGCGGAGAGAGCCCGUACCGCCCCGGUGCGCCGGACCGCGCCGACCCUCCCGGGACGCGGCCGCAACACGUGGAGCGAACUUUUGAGGGACGCGUGUCUGCGCCGGACGGGAGCCCCGCCGCCCGGGACCGCAACGCUGCACGGAGCAGCUCGUCUCUCUCCGGAGCAUUUCAACUGCUUUUCUUAAAGCUGAAUUCUUUAUAAAGGAGAAGUGACUAGAAACCCUGAGCUGAGUCCCAGGUCUGGCUUAACUUUGUAAGGCACACUGACACACUGAGGCUGCUCCACUUAAGGUAUGGUAUGAACCAGGAGCUGAUCCCAUGGCUGUGGAAUGAGUGUCCACAUGGAGUCAUCCUGCUGUAGCUAUUGCAGCUGCUGUGUAAGCAAGUCCUAAAAGACAGUCCUUGUCCCGGUGACUGUGUGACAGAUAAGACAGACAAUGCACACAAAGAGGGCACCGCUAUCAGUGAAGGAUGGAUACUGUCCAAUCUACUGGGAACAAAGAAGCCUGGGCUGCUCCAGGCCCCACAGAACUAUUCAGGAGUGUCCUUCGUGCCAGCUGAUUCCAGGAAUGUGACACUUAUGGAACUGUUUGUGUCAGGACUUCCUGCUUUGACACCUUUGAUUUCUGAGACUGCCCCAUCAUAGGAAACCCCAGAUCCGCUGCUCCACUCCACAAGGAUUUCUGUAUCCAGCAACUCUCAUGUCUUCACUGGAUACCGAAAUGAGAUGAAAGGGCUUGAAUGUUUCCUUGGCAAGAUGGGUGGAUGGAAUUAGCUUAAUCUGUUUUGAUUCUGACACCUACAAGUCAACUGACCCAAUCACCUCUUCUGCUAACAGGCUGCAAAGCAACACUCUAACUACUGUGGAAUAUUCUUUGUGAUGAAAACAGGAGGAUCGGUAAUGGGGGUUUGUAGCUUUUUUGGAUGAGUUGCACUUACAAUUUUUAUCUUUAGUAUUACCACUUUAAAUAAGAAUAUUUAUAUGUUAAAAUAAACACUUUUUUUGCCCUGAAAUACUGGAAAAUGCCUCCCCAGCUUCUUCUUACCUCAGUUUUGCCAUUGUGAAGAGAACCAUGGAUUUUAAGAUCAGAAGGACAAGUCGGAACUUCUAACAGAGGAUGCGCACAGAGCGACUUCUGCAGUUCAUCCUGCAGCCCAGGCCCUGAUUAAUGGAUCUUUUUCUUAUGUGCUGUGGGAACUCUGCCUAUAGAAAUGUCUGAGAAGCUGUUCCAGGGCUUUAUAACCUUGUGUCUUGUUCCUUGUGCCAAGCUGCAAGUUGCCUGCUUAUCCUGGCCUCUGUGGACAAAACCCUUUGUGUGUGACUGCACGUGGGAAUAGGAGAGUACCAUGGUUUGGUGCUGUUUUUGUCAGAUCUGUUCACAAAGCAGCUCCCCCAGUUGCUGCACUGCCUGUCAGAGAGGAGGGUUGGUGCAGCACAGGUCUGUAGGGUCACUUGCAGGAUGCAGGUGCAGGCCAGGGGCUCACAUGCAGGUUCCCUUGUGCACAUCCUGCAGUGGGAUCCAGCCCUGCUGGUACCUCUUUAACGAUUGAGGACAUUGUCAGCAGACCCAAGUCCAUUUCUCAGUGCCCACACUAAGCCACUCAGACUUCAAGAACACACUGACUAAAUUGAGUUUUCUUUCUUUAUAAAGUUCAGUGUCACUUAGUGCCUCCAAUUUAGCUUGAAAAAAGAAGCAGAAAUACCUAAAAUAAAGGUGUUUUGAAAAGUACAUGCAGGCAAUUAUGGGGUUUUUUCAGACUCAGUCUCAGGUGAUGCCAUAUGCACUGCACCAGACUUCCUUCAAAUUGCCAUCCCUAGUCUGUGUUAAGCAUCAUGAACAUGAAAAUAGAUCCUGCUGAAAUAAAACACUCUGGUCCUCACAUGCACACAAUUUUUUCUCUGAAAAACAGGUAACAACAGAUGAACUAAGUCUGAGCCACCACUGAUGCUUUGCCCAUCCUUGGAAGGUGCAGAGCAUCUGAAUUGGUGACUGCCCACAAAGAACUGACCUGAGGCAGCACAGAGCAAAGGGUGCAGGGUGAGAUCCCAACAGGGAAAAGGGAAAAAAAAAUUUCAAGUACAAGUAAUUCUGUUAAUGCCUGCAAGGAGUCUCUCACUGCAGGGGAAGCUUACUGAAAUGCCCUGCACUGUUAUCAGCUGCUUUCAGUGCACAGCUCCUGUCCAGAACAGUUUAAUGUGGUACAUUCAAUCAAACAGAAAUUGUAUGUCAAUACACGUGGAAUAAAAUCAGAGCAGGAAAUACAUUUUUCAGGCAAAUUUAUUGAUUUCUUUUACUGAAGCCCUGUGGUACUUUGCUGUAGUUUCUGAUGAAUAAAUAGCUGCUUCACAGAGGAAAUACAGUUAUUUAGGCAAAAUUUUAUCAUAGUUUAAACAUUUAAUUUUCAGCAAGACUGAAUAAAUCCAAGCUUUCAAGGAACCUUUAGCUUUAGCAGGUGGUUAUUGGGCUUUGUCUUUUUAAUUGGACCAGAAUUGGUCAUGUUUCACUAAGAGAACAUUUGCUGGAGCUGGUGGGAAAGAAACUACAACUUCACUGGGAUGGCUGGGCCAACCUUCACACAAGCUGGACCCUGUUCUGGUGCCCAGUUUGUAUUGCCUGGGGUUCAAAGGUUGAUACUUGGUACUUUUUAAAGAGAAAAACCAAAACAACCCCCCAGAAAAGUGAGCUGACAUCCCUGGGUCUCAAGUUCAGCACACAAACUCAUCAGCUGAUCUAAAACCGCAUGACUGUGCCUUUCUCUGCAACAUCAAGUUUGUUAUGUCAUUGGAGCAGGAUUUGUCUUGUUAACCUGGAAGUCCAGUAGACACAAAGUCCUUUUGUUACUGAGGUUGAUGCUGUUUUAUAUGCAGCUUAAAAAAAAAACAACACCUAUGUGCUGUUUCCUGAAUACUAAGGAUACAAGAAAAACAACUGUGGUAUCCCAGGUAACUAAUGUUGUCGGGUGUAAUGAUUUAAAUCCCACAUCAUAAUUGUCAGGAGUCCUCUUGGCUAUUUGUCCUGUUGUCAUGGGCCCAUGACCUGGCUCAGUGUGACAAACUGAAGGGGUCCAUGAUUAGUGUACCUGCAAAAUGUUCCUUAUAUUUUUAAGUUGAUAUUCCUGUAAACCUCACUUAAUUCUGUCUGUAAACUCGGAGUGGUUGUUUAAGCUCAAUAGCAACAUCCUCAUAGAAAAAGAGUGCAGAGAAAUUCAGAGUUGUAGGAACCCAGUUUGUAAAUUAGGGUACCAGUAAGCCCAUGGAACUGGGCAUGAUGCAUUUAGUCUGCACUUAAGGGAAGGCAGUGAAGUUUCCGCUGCACACCCCCAGACUCCUCAGGCUGCUCAUCUGCCUCAUGAGAGAAGCUGAGCAGUACAAGGACUCACUGCUGCACUUCUGAAUCUGUGGAGGAGCAAUUUGUUUUCUCCUUAAACUUCCUGUGACUUUUGCUCAGUGUUUUUAAAGGAAAAAUUAAAGACUUACUGGUUCCUGCAGCCUACCCUUUA